AACGAACGCUGGCGGCAUGCCUAACACAUGCAAGUCGAACGAGACCUUCGGGUCUAGUGGCGCACGGGUGCGUAACGCGUGGGAACCUGCCCUUAGGUUCGGAAUAACUCCCCGAAAGGGGUGCUAAUACCGGAUAAUGUCUUCGGACCAAAGAUUUAUCGCCUUUGGAUGGGCCCGCGUUGGAUUAGCUAGUUGGUAGGGUAAAAGCCUACCAAGGCGACGAUCCAUAGCUGGUCUGAGAGGAUGAUCAGCCACACUGGGACUGAGACACGGCCCAGACUCCUACGGGAGGCAGCAGUGGGUAAUAUUGGACAAUGGGCGAAAGGCUGAUCCAGCAAUGCCGCGUGAGUGAUGAAGGCCUUAGGGUUGUAAAGCUCUUUUACACGGGAUGAUAAUGACAGUACCGGGAGAAUAAGCUCCGGCUAACUCCGUG
rnacentral:rRNA from 1 species